rnacentral:rRNA from 1 species
CCUACGGGAGGCAGCAGUGGGGAAUAUUGGGCAAUGGGCGCAAGCCUGACCCAGCAACGCCGCGUGAAGGAAGAAGGCUUUCGGGUUGUAAACUUCUUUUCUCAGGGACGAAGCAAGUGACGGUACCUGAGGAAUAAGCCACGGCUAACUACGUGCCAGCAGCCGCGGUUAUACGUAGGUGGCAAGCGUUAUACGGAUUUACUGGGUGUAAAGGGCGUGUAGGCGGGACUACAAGUCAGAUGUGAAAACCACGGGCUCAACCUGUGGCCUGCAUUUGAAACUGUAGUUCUUGAGUACUGGGGAGGCAGACGGAAUUCCUAGGGUAGCGGUGAAAUGCGUAGAUAUUAGGAGGAACACCAGUGGCGAAGGCGGUCUGCUGGACAGCAACUGACGCUGAGGCGCGAAAGCGUGGGGAGCAAACAGGAUUAGAUACCCCGGUAGUC